UACGUGGGGGGCAAGCGUUGUCCGGAAUCAUUGGGCGUAAAGCGCGUGUAGGCGGCCAGAAAAGUCCGCUGUGAAAACUCGAGGCUCAACUUCGAGCUGUCGGUGGAAACUUUCUGGCUAGAGUCCGGAAGAGGAGAAUGGAAUUCCUGGUGUAGCGGUGAAAUGCGCAGAUAUCUGGAGGAACACCGGUGGCGAAGGCGGCAUCCUGGACCGGUAUUGACGCUGAGGCGCGAAAGCUAGGGGAGCAAACGGG
rnacentral:rRNA from 1 species